CCAUCUGUAUCACCAGAUGACCCUAAGAGCCUGAAUAAAGCAGCGGCUCUGACAACGUAACGAAGCUUGGUCGUUAGGCUGAGCGGGAGCAAAAUCGUGAGAGGAUGUUCCUCCUGAUAACCACAAAAUCGGGUGAGUGC
rnacentral:ncRNA from 1 species